AAUUUGAAGCUCAUUACUUAGUAAUACUAGAAAACUUCUUGAAUUUCGAUCUUAAAUUAAUUUGCAAAGGAAGGACCUUUUUGGAAUAUGAUCUUAUUUUGGUACAUUGCUAAGGGAUUAGCAAUGAUUAAGUUGGGGGGUGUGAUUUAUAUCACAAAUUGACAUAAAAAGUAUCAAUUAAUAUCUAAAUUAUCUAACUUUAUUAAGAAAUUGAUACUUGUUAUUAUAUUUUGCAGAAGAAGAGAUCAUCAAUAGAAAGAAUAAGGAAAG
rnacentral:lncRNA from 1 species